GAUGAACGCUGGCGGCGUGCCUAAUACAUGCAAGUCGAGCGACCACACGAGGAGCUUGCUCCUCUGCCGUUAGCGGCGGACGGGUGAGUAACACGUGCAUAACCUACUUCUUAUACUUGGGUAACUUCGUGAAACCGGAGCCAAUACUAGCUAAUAUAUUCUACCGCAUGAUUCAAUAGUGAAUGACGCCUUUGCUGUCUCUUAUAGAUGGAUCCGCGCCGCAUUAGCUAGUUGGUAAGGUAACGGCUUACCAAGGCAACGAUGCGUAGCCGACCUGAGAGGGUGAUCGGCCACACUGGAACUGAGACACGGUCCAGACUCCUACGGGAGGCAGCAGUAGGGAAUCUUGCGCAAUGGGCGAAAGCCUGACGGAGCAACGCCGCGUGAGUGAUGAAGGUCUUCGGAUCGUAAAACUCUGUUAUUAGGGAAGAACAAAUGUGUAAGUAACUAUGCACGUCUUGACGGUACCUAAUCAGAAAGCCACGGCUAACUACGUG
rnacentral:rRNA from 1 species